UUGGGCAAAAGCUGUCGCAUCAAAUGAGAAUCAUAAAUAAUUUCAUUUUCAUUUCGGCUUCAAUCCAACCCCAAAAACCCCUUCGACCAAAGAUUUUGGCUUUUAAAAGUGACACACAGCCCCCGCCCGAAAUCCUUAAACCUGUAAUUUACGAGAGGCAACUGUUACACGCACAAUUUUAUAUGUACAUAUGUAUAUAUUUACAAUCGCAAACAAAAGGAAAUUGCAUUCAACAAUAGUUACAAUUGCUGGGGGCCGAGAAUGCCAUAAAUCAUACGCCCAGUUGUACACGAAAGCAUUUGCUGGGGCGUUAAUUGUAAAUAAAUAACAUAUUAAAAUUUCCAGUCAAUAGGUUUAAGCCGUAAUUAAAAGCAAUAAUGCGAAGGCGAGUGUUUGUCCUUCGCCGUUUUCCCAUUUCCCAUUUCCAUCGUCUUUGCUCAUUUCGUCCAGAAACGCCAGCAGCAGACGGUGCAAAAGUUUUGGCCCCCCAAAAAGGUCAAUUAAACUGCAUUAAGUUUAAUAACUUUCAGUGCCCGGAACAGUUGCGAAGCACUGCCGAUUGGAGUGGGUGAAGGCGGAGAAGGGUGUCCUUGGCAGGACCAAACAGGAUCAGCCUUGGCGAGCGGAUUAUGUAGAAAACAGACAUACGAAUAGAACAGAUUGUGCGGCAGGCCACAUGCAACGUCAACAACAAACAACACCUGUUUAUGGUUUUUCGCUAGCACAAAUUUUACAACUGCCAGGACGAACAGGACGAGGCAUGCGAAAGAGCACACACACACACACACACGCUCUCACGUCGCAAGGAAGUCACGUUUGUAUAUACGACAACAGAAACCCCCAAAAAGAAGGACAUAAGCGAAAUAUUAUCUGCGAUGGCCGACACUUUGAUAUGCUUGCUCGGCAAGAGCGCCUCAAAAAUUCAGUGUAAAUAAUGUAUUUUUAUAUAGGUUACAACAGAAACCGCAAGAUAUAUCCAAUCGAGAUUAAUUCAGUUAUAAUAGGAAUAUCAAGAAGAUGCCAUUAGUUAUAUUGCUAAUUCUGAAGAACAGGAUACAACCCCUAGGAAGGGUAUGUGCCCCCCAAAAGGAACAUUAUAAAGAAAAAGAGGAGUAGCAAAGGGCUGGCUUUGGAUAGCUGGUUUGGUUGGCAGGCGACGCGACGUCUUGGCGGUUCGGAUUCGGUGGCUGAAGGUGGAAUUAAAUGUAAGCAGGAUAAGAGGAGGACAUCGGGGAUGCGUACUACCCGGACGUACUAUUAUAUAUAACACAUACCAUCAUAUAUCUGCCUGCUGGGACUGAAUGCUCCUGGAGCGGGUUGUCUGCGCUUCACGCUUGAUUAUGCGUUUGCAUGCACAUAAAGGCAGAAGUCAAACACGGCACAAA